CACCAUUAGAAAGCUAGCUAUACUCAGCCCAGACACAGAGGCACGGAGGAGGGUCUGUCCCUAUUGUGUGUCAAUUACCGCCUGCGGUGGGAAUAAACUAUUUUGUUCUAAAUAUGCUGCUUUUGUGCCAGUGAAAGUUGUAUCUCUUUUCACCCAUCACUACAUCUAAAAGUAGUGUAUGGAGACUGGGCUAUAAUCACUGCUAUUAUCGCUCCUAUAGACACACCAGAGUAUCUAAGCCGAAAAAGGGAGGCAAAGUGACAGAGGAACCCUAAUCUGUUCCUGAGCUCUGUAAUAGUGCCUAACAGGAUUACUAUUAUUAUUAUUUAUAAAAUAUUUUACCAGGAAGGAUACAUUGAGAUUUCUCUCAUUUUCAAG